AAGCAGGUCGCAGUGACGAGGGGACUCUAACUGUCUAAUAACAACAUAGGUGAUUGCGAAUCCGUAAGGACUAGUACAAUCACUGAAUCCUGCCCAGUGCAGGUACCUGAAAACCGGGUUCAACCGGAAGAAGGGCCUGUCAACGGCGGGGGUAACUAUGACCCUCUUAAGGUAGCGUAGUACCUUGCCGCUUAAUUGGCGGCUUGCAUGAAUGGAUCAAUGAGAGUCCCACUGUCCCUAGCUGGUACCCGGUGAACCUUACGUUCCAGUGCAGAGUCUGGAGACCCCUAAUGGGAAGUGAAGACCCCGUGGAGCUUUACUGCAGCCUGCCGUUGGGUUGUGGUUUUGAUUGUAGAGCAUAGGUAGGAGACGUCGAAGCUCGGGCGCCAGUCCGAGUGGAGUCGCCCUUGGAAUACUACCCUUUCGAAGCUACCGCCCUAACUCUGAGAAGAGGACCUCGGUAGGUGGGCAGUUUGGGUGGGGCGCCACGCCCUUGAAAAGAUAUCAAGGGCGCCCUAAGGUUGACUCAGUUGGGUCGGAAACCCAACAAAGAGUGUAAAGGCAUAAGUCAGCCUGAUGUUACCUCGCAUAGCAAGAGGUGAUAAGACGAAAGUCAGGCUUAGCGAACCUCUCAGCUCUCUUGGUGAGAGCGUUAGAUGACAGAAAAGCUACCCCGGGGAUAACAGAGUCGUCACCGGCAAGAGCACAUAUCGACCCGGUGGCUUGCUACCUCGAUGUCGGUUCUUUCCAUCCUGGCCGUGCAGCAGCGGCCAAGGGUGAGGUUGUUCGCCUAUUAAAGGAGAUCGUGAGCUGGGUUUAGACCGUCGUGAGACAGGUCGGUUACUAUCUGUUAGGGGUGUAUUGCGGUCUGAGGGCAGGUUGGUUUUAGUACGAGAGGAACAAGCCAACGGCACCUCUGGUCUAUCGGCUGUCUGGCAAGGCACGCCGAGCAGCUACGUGCUCGCGGAUAAGGGCUGAAAGCAUCUAAGCCCGAAACCGUCCCUGAAAAGAGACCGCUUAGAGUACUCGUAAAAGACGAGUUUGAUAGAGCUGGUGUGUAAGCACCAAGGCAACGAGGUGUUCAGCUCGCAGCUACUAA
rnacentral:rRNA from 1 species